UCCACAUCUUGCCUACCUGGAAAAGUACU
rnacentral:piRNA from 1 species